UACAGAGGAGCCAAGCGUUGUCCGGAUUGACUGGGCGUAAAGCGCACGCAGGCGGAUACGCGCGUGGGGUGUGAAAUCUGGCCGCUUAACGGCCAGGCGCCAUCCCAUACGGCGUGUCUGGAGCUGUGCAGAGGUCGGUGGAAUUCCCGGUGUAGCGGUGGAAUGCGUAGAGAUCCGGAAGAACACCGGUGGCGAAGGCGGGACUCUGGGCCGAGUAUUGACGCUGAGGAGCGAAAGCGUGGGGAGCGAACAGG
rnacentral:rRNA from 1 species